ACGUAGGGGGCGAGCGUUGUCCGGAAUUACUGGGCGUAAAGGGUGCGUAGGCGGUUUUUUAAGUCAGAUGUGAAAUCCCCGGGCUUAACUCGGGUGGUGCAUUUGAAACUGGGAGGCUAGAGUGCAGGAGAGGGAAGCGGAAUUCCUAGUGUAGCGGUGAAAUGCGUAGAUAUUAGGAGGAACACCAGUGGCGAAGGCGGCUUUCUGGACUGUAACUGACGCUGAGGCACGAAAGCGUGGGGAGCAAACAG
rnacentral:rRNA from 1 species